GUGUCAGCCGCCGCGGUAAUACCAGCACCCCGAGUGGUCGGGACGAUUAUUGGGCCUAAAGCAUCCGUAGCCGGUUCUGCAAGUCUUCCGUUAAAUCCAGCCGCUCAACGGAUGGGCCGCGGAGGAUACUAUAGGACUAGGAGGCGGGAGAGGCAAGCGGUACUCAGUGGGUAGGGGUAAAAUCCUUUGAUCCAUUGAAGACCACCAGUGGCGAAGGCGGCUUGCCAGAACGCGCUCGACGGUGAGGGAUGAAAGCUGGGGGAGCAAACCGGAUUAGAUACCCGGGUAGUCCCAGCUGUAAACGAUGCAGACUCGGUGAUGGGCUAGCCUUGUGCCAGCCCAGUGCCGCAGGGAAGCCGUUAAGUCUGCCGCCUGGGGAGUACGGUCGCAAGACUGAA
rnacentral:rRNA from 1 species